CGAGAGGACCGUGUUGGACGAACCUCUGGUCCGCGGGUUGUACCGCCCGGUGCACCGCCCGGUAGCCAAGUUCGGUUCGGAUAAGCGCUGAAAGCAUCUAAGCGCGAAGCCAUCUCCAAGAUUAGAUCUCCACAGAGGGUCGUCAUAGACGAUGACGUUGAUAGGGCGCAGGUGUACAACGGUGACGUAAAGCCGAGCGCUACUAAUAGCCCGAGCCUUUCCUUU
rnacentral:rRNA from 1 species